rnacentral:rRNA from 1 species
UAACAAGGUCUCCGUUGGUGAACCAGCGGAGGGAUCAUUACUGAGUUUACGCUCUACAACCCUUUGUGAACAUACCUAUAACUGUUGCUUCGGCGGGUAGGGUCUCCGUGACCCUCCCGGCCUCCCGCCCCCGGGCGGGUCGGCGCCCGCCGGAGGAUAACCAAACUCUGAUUUAACGACGUUUCUUCUGAGUGGUACAAGCAAAUAAUCAAAACUUUUAACAACGGAUCUCUUGGUUCUGGCAUCGAUGAAGAACGCAGCGAAAUGCGAUAAGUAAUGUGAAUUGCAGAAUUCAGUGAAUCAUCGAAUCUUUGAACGCACAUUGCGCCCGCCAGCAUUCUGGCGGGCAUGCCUGUUCGAGCGUCAUUUCAACCCUCAAGCUCUGCUUGGUGUUGGGGCCCUACAGCUGAUGUAGGCCCUCAAAGGUAGUGGCGGACCCUCCCGGAGCCUCCUUUGCGUAGUAACUUUACGUCUCGCACUGGGAUCCGGAGGGACUCUUGCCGUAAAACCCCCAAUUUUCCAAAGGUUGACCUCGGAUCAGGUAGGAAUACCCGCUGAACUUAAGCAUAUC